AAAGGGAGACCUAAUUCGGGUAUAAGACGAAAAAAUAGUAGUCGAAACCAAGAAUCAAUCCCAAAAGGUCGGAACGAGGUAUGUGGCUUUCAAACUAGGUUCUGGGUUCAUAAAAGACCUGAAUCAGGAACAAGGGCUAUUAGCUCAGGUGGUUAGAGCGCACCCCUGAUAAGGGUGAGGUCCCUGGUUCGAGUCCAGGAUGGCCCACCUGCACAGGUGGCAAAAACAAGAGAAGCGAGGAAUCAGCACCUUAUCUUACUUAUAUAGUAAGAGAGAAUGCUGGCUCUGAGUACAGAGUCCAGAGGAACCUUGAAAACUGCAUAGAGCUAGGUGAAAAAGCCAAAAAAGAAGACCGCAAG
rnacentral:tRNA from 1 species